ACAGAGAAUGUCAGAGACAGAAUGGACUUUUAGGAUCUCUGAGUGGCUACUCCAACCUUCUUAUUUUCCAGAGAACAGGGAGGCCCAGAAAGGUGCAAUGUUUUGCCCAGCAUCACAUGACUACAGGUUACCUCCCCAGGAGUUUCCUCACUAUGGCCCUAUAUGAAUUCUUCACCUUCACGUUCUCAUUCCUUCCUAUAUUUUGUCUUCUUUCAUCAGAGUAUAAGCACACUGAAGAAUGUUCAUCUUCUUAGAUUCCUACAUUAUUUUCUCCAACUCCAUUCUCAAAAAUAGAAAUCUAGAUCCGAGUGAAGGCUAUGGCAUCUCUGGGCUAUUCCGGUUCUUCUCAAAGAAUGGAAACUGCAAACAACCCUAACUUCAUUUUUCUCCAACUGAACAAUAAUAGCCAGCAUUAUAGUGCUUAAACAUCUGCAAAAUGUUUUAUACAUAUUAACUCCUUUCAGUCAGUACACUAGCAAAGUCAGAGAGCUCUGUCUCUUUUCUGAUAAAUGGCAGCAUCCUGGAAAGCCAGUCCAUGAGUCCAACCUACCUGGGGAUCGGAAAGCCGGGAAAUAUCAGGGUAGAGGUAAAAC